AUACGGAGGGGGCUAGCGUUGUUCGGAAUCACUGGGCGUAAAGCGCACGUAGGCGGUUCGUUAAGUUGGGCGUGAAAGCCCGGGGCUCAACCCCGGAGGUGCGUUCGAAACUGGCGGACUAGAGUCCGGGAGAGGGUGGUGGAAUUCCCAGUGUAGAGGUGAAAUUCGUAGAUAUUGGGAAGAACACCAGUGGCGAAGGCGACCACCUGGUCCGGUACUGACGCUGAGGUGCGAAAGCGUGGGGAGCAAACAGGAUUAGAUACCCCAGUAGUCC
rnacentral:rRNA from 1 species